GUACAACAAUACCUUCAAAUGACCUUGAUUAAGGUGGUAUCAGAUGAUAUUGUUAGCAGAUCAUCCAUUGAGAAAAAUACAGCACAACCAAUGAUCUAGGUUAGUGUUUCUGGGUCCUGGGGAUAUAACCAAUGAUCUAGGUUAGUGUUUCUUGGCCCUGGGGAUAUAACUAAUGAUCUAGGUUAGUGUUUCUGGGCCCUGGGGAUAUAACCAAUGAUCUAGGUUAGUGUUUCUGGGUCCUGGGGAUAUAACCAAUGAUCUAGGUUAGUGUUUCUGGGUCCUGGGGAUAUAACCAAUGAUCUAGGUUAGUGUUCCUGGGUCCUGGGGAUAUAACUAAUGAUCUAGGUUAGUGUUUCUGGGUCCUGGGGAUAUAACCAAUGAUCUAGGUUAGUGUUCCUGGGUCCUGGGGAUAUAACCAAUGAUCUAGGUUAGUGUUUCUGGGCCCUGGGGAUACAACCAAUGAUCUAGGUUAGUGUUUCUUGGCCCUGGGGAUAUAACCAAUGAUCUAGGUUAGUGUUUCUGGGUCCUGGGGAUACAACCAAUGAUCUAGGUUAGUGUUUCCUGGUCCUGAGGAUAUAACCAAUGAUCUAGGUUAGUGUUUCUGGGUCCUGGGGAUAUAACCAAUGAUCUAGGUUAGUGUUCCUGGGUCCUGGGGAUAUAACCAAUGAUCUAGGUGAGUGUUUCUGGGUCCUGGGGAUAUAACCAAUGAUCUAGGUUAGUGUUUCCUGGUCCUGAGGAUAUAACCAAUGAUCUAGGUUAGUGUUUCUGGGUCCUGGGGAUAUAACCAAUGAUCUAGGUUAGUGUUUCUGGGUCCUGGGGAUAUAACCAAUGAUCUAGGUUAGUGUUUCUUGGCCCUGGGGAUAUAACUAAUGAUCUAGGUUAGUGUUUCUGGGUCCUGGGGAUAUAACCAAUGAUCUAGGUUAGUGUUUCUGGGUCCUGGGGAUAUAACCAAUGAUCUAGGUUAGUGUUUCUGGGUCCUGGGGAUAUAACCAAUGAUCUAGGUUAGUGUUUCUUGGCCCUGGGGAUAUAACUAAUGAUCUAGGUUAGUGUUUCUUGGCCCUGGGGAUAUAACUAAUGAUCUAGGUUAGUGUUUCUGGGUCCUGGGGAUAUAACCAAUGAUCUAGGUUAGUGUUUCUGGGUCCUGGGGAUAUAACCAAUGAUCUAGGUUAGUGUUUCUUGGCCCUGGGGAUAUAACUAAUGAUCUAGGUUAGUGUUUCUGGGUCCUGGGGAUAUAACCAAUGAUCUAGGUUAGUGUUUCCUGGUCCUGAGGAUAUAACCAAUGAUCUAGGUUAGUGUUUCUUGGCCCUGGGGAUAUAACUAAUGAUCUAGGUUAGUGUUUCUGGGUCCUGAGGAUAUAACCAAUGAUCUAGGUUAGUGUUCCUGGGUCCUGGGGAUAUAACUAAUGAUCUAGGUUAGUGUUUCUGGGUCCUGGGGAUAUAACCAAUGAUCUAGGUUAGUGUUUCUUGGCCCUGGGGAUAUAACCAAUGAUCUAGGUUAGUGUUUCUUGGCCCUGUGGAUAUAACUAAUGAUCUAGGUUAGUGUUUCUGGGUCCUGGGGAUAUAACCAAUGAUCUAGGUUAGUGUUUCCUGGUCCUGAUGAUAUAACCAAUGAUCUAGGUUAGUGUUUCCUGGUCCUGAGGAUAUAACCAAUGAUCUAGGUUAGUGUUUCUUGGCCCUGGGGAUAUAACUAAUGAUCUAGGUUAGUGUUUCUGGGUCCUGAGGAUAUAACCAAUGAUCUAGGUUAGUGUUCCUGGGUCCUGGGGAUAUAACUAAUGAUCUAGGUUAGUGUUUCUGGGUCCUGGGGAUAUAACCAAUGAUCUAGGUUAGUGUUUCUUGGCCCUGGGGAUAUAACCAAUGAUCUAGGUUAGUGUUUCUUGGCCCUGUGGAUAUAACUAAUGAUCUAGGUUAGUGUUUCUGGGUCCUGGGGAUAUAACCAAUGAUCUAGGUUAGUGUUUCUGGGUCCUGGGGAUAUAACUAAUGAUCUAGGUUAGUGUUUCUUGGCCCUGGGGAUAUAACUAAUGAUCUAGGUUAGUGUUUCUGGGUCCUGGGGAUAUAACCAAUGAUCUAGGUUAGUGUUUCCUGGUCCUGAGGAUAUAACCAAUGAUCUAGGUUAGUGUUUCCUGGUCCUGAGGAUAUAACCAAUGAUCUAGGUUAGUGUUUCUUGGCCCUGGGGAUAUAACUAAUGAUCUAGGUUAGUGUUUCUGGGUCCUGAGGAUAUAACCAAUGAUCUAGGUUAGUGUUCCUGGGUCCUGGGGAUAUAACUAAUGAUCUAGGUUAGUGUUUCUGGGUCCUGGGGAUAUAACCAAUGAUCUAGGUUAGUGUUUCUUGGCCCUGGGGAUAUAACCAAUGAUCUAGGUUAGUGUUUCUGGGUCCUGGGGAUAUAACCAAUGAUCUAGGUUAGUGUUUCUGGGUCCUGGGGAUAUAACCAAUGAUCUAGGUUAGUGUUUCCUGGCCCUGGGGAUAUAACUAAUGAUCUAGGUUAGUGUUUCUGGGUCCUGGGGAUAUAACCAAUGAUCUAGGUUAGUGUUUCUGGGUCCUGGGGAUAUAACUAAUGAUCUAGGUUAGUGUUUCUGGGUCCUGGGGAUAUAACUAAUGAUCUAGGUUAGUGUUUCCUGGUCCUGAGGAUAUAACCAAUGAUCUAGGUUAGUGUUUCUGGGUCCUGGGGAUAUGAAAUAUGACCCUUUGGGUCCAUAACCCUAACCCUAACCCUAACCC